UUAUACAGUGUGACAGAGUACAGUAAUUAAACGGGAAGUGUCUGUAAUGGUGGCAGACUCCCGAAAAGCAACUCAACCUAAAACAAUUUUGGGCGCCAGGCAAACAGAUUGAAAACUCUGUCAUCAUUUACUCACCUCAUGCUGUUCCAACCAGUUUGACUUCCUUCUGUGGGAUAUAAAUAAAGAAUUUUUUGCAAAUGUUCAUGCCACUUCAUCUCUAUAUAAUGAAAGUGGAUGGGGUUCAGAGAAUGGCAAGCUUUAAAAGAGACAUAAAAGCACGUACAGUUUGUGACUCUUCUGGAGCCAUAUGAUAGCUUUGUGUACCAUUUUAUGUGGUGUAGUCACUGUUCACUUUUAUUAAAUGGAAUAGCAGACAUUCAGCAAUGAAUAAUAUUUUUUAUCCUGGAAGAAGUUUUCAAUUGUAGUUUAACUAUUACGCACCCACUUUCUCAUACCAUCAAAACAGUAUGUGUGUGUACUGUGUAGGUCAUUGCAUCCAGUAUAUACUGGAUAAGAUUGUAUCUGGUUUCCUAUACAGCAUAUUUAUAUAUUCCCUUAGGCCUAUAUAUUCAUUAUGUGUGUGUGUAAUUUUUUUUAAUUGUCUCUAAUGUUUUAGGUUUGUCACCAGUCUAUGAGAUCAUAGGUAUGAAUGGGGCACACAACACAUUUAUAUAUUCUUUCAAUAAAAAACACAAUAGGGCCUACUUUCAGAUGACUAGCAUUGAAUAAACAUAUUCCAAUAGACACAAAUGACCAAUCAUAAUCAUAUUUCACACAUCUCAUUUUGCUGUAAAUGAUCUUACAUACAGGUUAACUUUAAUUUUAAAGAGAGAAAUGGAUUGUGUAAUGUGGCACUUGGAAUUUUUUUUCCUUUUUGUCUGAUUACACUAUAUGACUUGAAAUAUCUGACUAAAAUUGCCUUGUUUCCAGAACCUCACUAGAUGAAGAAGAGCAACAUGAAGAUGAAGAAGAGUUUUAAAAAAUCACAAAAAGCACAUGGCCACUGCGAACCACCAACGUACCUGCAUCAUCGAAGCAACUUUUCAUGUUCUGGUCAUGAAGAAGAUGGGGAGCUUUAACCCUUUAAAUCUAAGAGAACAGAGGCAUUUUCUUAAACAGAAAAUGUAUUUGUUUACAACACAACAGAGGCCAGAUGCUUUCUCCACAAAUAAACAUCAUGUUAAAGUGUCUGUAAGUGACGUUAGGAGUUCUAGAACUGAUACUGAAUUAAACAAGCAUCCUGUUUUACAACCCCAUCGCUUGGACACAACCACCAAAGCAUGUAAAACUUAUGCUUCCUAA
rnacentral:lncRNA from 1 species